rnacentral:rRNA from 1 species
UACGUAGGGAGCAAGCGUUGUUCGGAUUUACUGGGCGUAAAGGGCGCGUAGGCGGCAUAUUAAGUCAUCUGUGAAAUCUCCGAGCUUAACUCGGAACUGUCAGCUGAUACUGAUGUGCUAGAGUGCGGAAGGGGCAAUCGGAAUUCUUGGUAUAGCGGUGAAAUGCGUAGAUAUCAAGAGGAACACCUGAGGUGAAGACGGGUUGCUGGGCCGACACUGACGCUGAGUGCGCGAAAGCCAGGGGAGCAAACGGG